rnacentral:rRNA from 1 species
GACGAACGCUGGCGGCGUGCCUAAUACAUGCAAGUAGAACGCUGAAGAGAGGAGCUUGCUCUUCUUGGAUGAGUUGCGAACGGGUGAGUAACGCGUAGGUAACCUGCCUUGUAGCGGGGGAUAACUAUUGGAAACGAUAGCUAAUACCGCAUAACAAUGGAUGACACAUGUCAUUUAUUUGAAAGGGGCAAUUGCUCCACUACAAGAUGGACCUGCGUUGUAUUAGCUAGUAGGUGAGGUAAUGGCUCACCUAGGCGACGAUACAUAGCCGACCUGAGAGGGUGAUCGGCCACACUGGGACUGAGACACGGCCCAGACUUCUACGGGAGGCAGCAGUAGGGAAUCUUCGGCAAUGGGGGCAACCCUGACCGAGCAACGCCGCGUGAGUGAAGAAGGGUUUCGGAUCGUAAAGCUCUGUUGUAAGUCAAGAACGGGUGUGAGAGUGGAAAGUUCACACUGUGACGGUAGCUUACCAGAAAGGGACGGCUAACUACGUG